rnacentral:snoRNA from 1 species
UGGCUGUGAUGACUAAUCUCAUUUCUCGAUUCUGAUCAAUAAACUGUUAAGUUUAGGACCAAAUUUUUGAUGACUUUAUUUGUGCGUGUCUGAGCCGC